rnacentral:tRNA from 1 species
ACUUGAAUAUCUUAUAUAUAGAGUAUGACACUGAAGAUGUCAUUGAGGUUUUAUACCUUCAAGUG